rnacentral:rRNA from 1 species
GAUGAACGCUGGCGGCGUGCCUAAUACAUGCAAGUCGAGCGAACAGACGAGGAGCUUGCUCCUCUGACGUUAGCAGCGGACGGGUGAGUAACACGUGGAUAACCCACCUAUAAGACUGGGAUAACUUCGGGAAACCGGAGCUAAUACCGGAUAAUAUAUUGAACCGCAUGGUUCAAUAGUGAAAGACGGUUUUGCUGUCACUUAUAGAUGGAUCCGCGCCGCAUUAGCUAGUUGGUAAGGUAACGGCUUACCAAGGCAACGAUGCGUAGCCGACCUGAGAGGGUGAUCGGCCACACUGGAACUGAGACACGGUCCAGACUCCUACGGGAGGCAGCAGUAGGGAAUCUUCCGCAAUGGGCGAAAGCCUGACGGAGCAACGCCGCGUGAGUGAUGAAGGUCUUCGGAUCGUAAAACUCUGUUAUUAGGGAAGAACAAAUGUGUAAGUAACUAUGCACGUCUUGACGGUACCUAAUCAGAAAGCCACGGCUAACUACGUG